ACCUGUGGUAAAUGAAACGCAUACAAACUCAUAUACAGGUCCUAGACUAAAAGGACAGGGCCGUUCCUAGCGCGAUAAUUGGGGAAGUAUAUUCAUAUAUUCGUCUUCUGCCCGACGGAUUUUUUUUGAAAACUAUUGUUUUUAUGGUAGCGAGCAUGAAUAUAUGAAUAUACCCCCACCUCCCCAUUAUCGCGUCUAGGAACGGCCCUGUAAAGGGAAAUAGCAUGAAUAUAGAAAUUAGAUUCCCUUAUCUGAAAGAACUUGACCUGGAAAACAUUUUAAAGCUUUUUGAAAAUCUCGCUUAUUUCUUGACCUUAAGAAAAGCUUCUGUUGUGAUGGAGCUAAACUGUUGAACUCAUUACCUAAAUACAAUUAACACUUAUGAUUUGGGUUUGUGUAAUUAGUCCAUUUUAAAUGUUUUACAACCAGUUUGAAAGCUUCCAAACGCGGCAAAACAAUUAGUUUUGCUCUGAAAACUUAAAAAUUUCGCCUGUGUCUAUCUAUAUGUAUACUGAAAGUUUCGCUUGAGGAACUAAAAGUCUAUGCGAGCAGAGGCGUAGGAAGCUUCUAAAAGUUGGGGGGGCAGGCCUUGAGGGGCACUUUCUGAAGAAAAAAGGGCGUCUAAAAUUUUUUUCCCGGAAAAGUUGGCGACGAGGGGGGAGGCCUCAAAAAUUUUUCCGGACAUACCAAAAUAAUUUUCCGGAUAUAUCACAUUUUUUCCUAAAUAAGAAAAACUUUUUUUCCGAUUUACCAAAAAAUUUUCCGGAUAUCAUAUUUUUCCCGGAAAUGAAAAAAAUUUUCCGGAAAAUAACGUAAAUUCAAGUUUUCAAAAGUGCCCUGGCCAAAAAAAGGCAAGCCUUAAGACAUUUUUCACGCAAGAAAAAGGCACUUUGCUGCCGGAAAAAGGGCACCUGGCAAAACGUGGGGGGGGGCUGCCCCCCAGGUUCCUACGCCCCUGGAUGCGAGGUUUGAUAUUUGAAAGUAUACGUUUUUUAAUAUACAUUAGAAUUUAAAAUAUACAAACAUGGGCGAUGAUCAGAGGCGAUAAUACAAAAGUUGCGUUUCGCUCUCAUGAGAAAUUUGAUUAUAAAAGGCUGUUUAUACUGUCCCGCUUACCCGGGAUUCAACGAAGUGUAACGUAUUUUGAUCGAGCAAUUGAAAUACGUGUUUCAGCCCUAAACAACAGUUAGAUAACUUUAAACACUUUUUAAACGAAAUUAGGAGUGCGCUAGAAGUUAUGUAGUGGAAGAAGACGAUUAAUAUAGCAUUCAACAAUAUUUGUUUUUUUGUUUAAGACAUGGAAUUUCAUACAUAUUUGUAACGAGCAAUUUUGUUAUAUCAUGAAGUGCGACUAAUAAUUUUAUCCCCGAUCCGACGGCGCGAAGCGCCGUGCGAGGGUACUAAUUCCCCCCGGCUAUUUACACCCGGGGAAACGAGAGCAUUAGCGGAGUCUAAAGUUCAUUAAAUAUCGCGGGCGUAGGUCACCAACGGUGUUGGGUGGGUGGUCAUCCUCACUGAUCUCAAAAAUAUGGCGAACUGUCACGAAUAGCGGACACUGAUUGGUCCAAUUUAAAGUUUGCAUUAUAACGACUGCAUGACGACAGCGAAAUAGCAAACAUUUCUUGAGUUGAUUUGAUGAUUGAUAAAUUUCUUGCAAAUAUAUUUCAUUUUUGCUUGCAUUUUUGCAAGAUUUUGUAAAUUUCAAAAGCUCUCUGAGAAAGGAACUGCGAAAGAAUCGGCUAAAAGAAGGGAGCCGACGUUAACGAAGGUAAGUUUGUUUUAAAUAUUGAUUUUAUAAUGGUUUAAAACCCGACGGCCUUUGCGUAUAUGAAACAACUAAACAAGACAGCAUAUAAUUUCAGUGUAUCUUUAAAUUUAUUGAUUCCCUUUUUUAUGUUAUUGAAUUUUUUAAAUAAAUAAGAAAGCAAAGUUAUUUGCAAGCGAGAAUUUUAAAUCAUUUUAUUGCAAACUCAAAGUUUAUCGAUAAAGCCAUUGUAAAAGGCAGUUUAGUUUUAUAUUAAAGAACACUAAUGACUUUAAAACGUUUUGCGAAGCGUUUGUGGUUGAAUUUUACCUUAAAUCGAGGCUUAUAUUACGUAUAAUAACGUACCUAACAUAUAUAUGUUGGGAAAUUAAUAAUUUUGUGAUUAAAAGUGAUAUUUAUAGGCGAUUUUUCAUUUGUAAGAAUAUUCUUAAAAAAUUAUCGUGUUACCAUGACAACUUCAUGUUCGGAAAAUACAAUGGUUUUGUCUGCAAGGCGAGUGUUUCUGCAUGCAUGUAUUUUCUAGUUUAAAUUGCUCAAAAUAUGUCACGUCACAUUUUAUUAAAUCCCGGGACGCGGGGAAGCGGGACCAUGGACUUGGGACUUGGCAUGGCGGCGACAGAGUUCUGAAAUUGCUCAGAACUUCAACUUUACGAUACUCCCUAUAGGGUAUGACAUCGUGUUUACAUGUCUAAUAUGUUGGAUAAGUUGCAGGAAAGUAUGGGUAAUAUCUUCAUUUUUUUGCAGUUUGUCAUGGAUAAUGUAGCUAC
rnacentral:lncRNA from 1 species